CCGCUAUGGGAUGAGCCUAUGUCGGAUUAGCUAGUUGGUGAGGUAACGGCUCACCAAGGCGACGAUCCGUAGCUGGUCUGAGAGGAUGAUCAGCCACAUCGGGACUGAGACACGGCCCGAACUCCUACGGGAGGCAGCAGUGGGGAAUAUUGGACAAUGGGGGAAACCCUGAUCCAGCCAUGCCGCGUGUGUGAAGAAGGCCCUCGGGUUGUAAAGCACUUUCAGCGAGGAAGAACGCCUAGCGGUUAAUACCCGCUAGGAAAGACAUCACUCGCAGAAGAAGCACCGGCUAACUCCGUGCCACCAGCCGCGGUAAUACGGAGGGUGCAAGCGUUAAUCGGAAUUACUGGGCGUAAAGCGCGCGUAUGUGGCUUGAUAAGCCGGUUGUGAAAGCCCCGGGCUCAACCUGGGAACGGCAUCCGGAACUGUCAAGCUAGAGUGCAGGAGAGGAAGGUAGAAUUCCCGGUGUAGCGGUGAAAUGCGUAGAGAUCGGGAGGAAUACCAGUGGCGAAGGCGGCCUUCUGGACUGACACUGACACUGAGGUGCGAAAGCGUGGGUAGCAAACAGGAUUAGAUACCCUGGUAGUCCACGCCGUAAACGAUGUCGACCAGCCGUUGGGUGCCUAGCGCACUUUGUGGCGAAGUUAACGCGAUAAGUCGACCGCCUGGGGAGUACGGCCGCAAGGUUAAAACUCAAAUGAAUUGACGGGGGCCCGCACAAGCGGUGGAGCAUGUGGUUUAAUUCGAUGCAACGCGAAGAACCUUACCUACUCUUGACAUCCUGCGAAUUUGGUAGAGAUACCUUAGUGCCUUCGGGAACGCAGAGACAGGUGCUGCAUGGCUGUCGUCAGCUCGUGUUGUGAAAUGUUGGGUUAAGUCCCGUAACGAGCGCAACCCUUGUCCUUAUUUGCCAGCGCGUAAUGGCGGGAACUCUAAGGAGACUGCCGGUGACAAACCGGAGGAAGGUGGGGACGACGUCAAGUCAUCAUGGCCCUUACGAGUAGGGCUACACACGUGCUACAAUGGUCGGUACAAAGGGUUGCCAACUCGCGAGAGUGAGCCAAUCCCGAAAAGCCGAUCUCAGUCCG
rnacentral:rRNA from 1 species